rnacentral:rRNA from 1 species
UUGAACGCUGGCGGCAUGCCUUACACAUGCAAGUCGAACGGCAGCACGGGGAGGGGCAACUCUCCCUGGUGGCGAGUGGCGAACGGGUGAGUAAUGCAUCGGAACGUGUCCCGUCGUGGGGGAUAACCAGUCGAAAGACUGGCUAAUACCGCAUGAGAUCGAGAGAUGAAAGCGGGGGACCGCAAGGCCUCGCGCGAUGGGAGCGGCCGAUGCCCGAUUAGCUAGUUGGUGAGGUAACGGCUCACCAAGGCGACGAUCGGUAGCUGGUCUGAGAGGACGACCAGCCACACUGGGACUGAGACACGGCCCAGACUCCUACGGGAGGCAGCAGUGGGGAAUUUUGGACAAUGGGCGCAAGCCUGAUCCAGCCAUGCCGCGUGUGUGAAGAAGGCCUUCGGGUUGUAAAGCACUUUCGGACGGUAACGAAAUACGCGCGCAUGAACAAUGCGCGUGGAUGACGGUACCGUAAG